rnacentral:lncRNA from 1 species
UUUGAGAUCUGUAUCUUGUGCGGACCUGCUGUCUCCUCCUGUUGUUACCAGAAAGGGGUCCGGAUCCAGACCCCAAGAGAGGGUUCUUGGCCCUUGCAUAGGAAAUAAUUCAGGGCAAGUCCAUAAAGUGAAAGCAAGUUUAUUAAGAAAGAAAAGGGAUAAAGAAUGCCUACUCCAGAGGCAGAGCAGCCCGGAGGGCUGCUGGUUGGCCAUUUUUAUGGUUAUUUCUUGAUUAUAUGCUAAACAAGGGAUGAAUUAUUCAUGAGUUUUCCGGGAAAGGGGUAGGCAACUCCCUGGAACUAAGAAUUCCUCCCCUUUUUAGACCAUGUAGGGUAAUUUCCUGAUGUUGCCAUGGUAUUUGUAAACCGUGGUGAUGCUGUCUGGAGUGUCUUUUAGCAUGCUAAUACAUUAUAAUUAGCGUAUAAUGAGGACUGAGGACCUCCAGAGGUCAGUUUCAUCGCCAUCUUGGUUUCGGUAGGUUUUGGCUGGCUUCUUUACCGCAUGCUGUUUUACCACCAGGGUCUUUGUGACCUGUAUCUUGUGCCAACCUCCUAUCUCAUCCUGUGACUUAGAAUGCCUAACCUCCUAGGAAUACAGCCCAGGUCUCAACCUUAUUUUACCCAGCCUCUAUUCCAGAUGGAGUCGUUCUGGUUUGAAGCCUCUGACAAGUUCACUGGUGGCCCGGGCAACAUUUAGAAACAACAGAGACAACACUCCUAACAAGUUGGUUUAAGCAUUUUACAAAUACUGCUUUUAGUUCAGAGGGGGCUACUUACAAACACCCCCUCUAAAUCCCCUAAGGGCACACGGUAGAAAACGCCUUCAUAAUUAUCCUCGUAACACCGUAACUGCGAGGACCAACAUCCUCCUUUCACAGAUAAGCGAAGAGAGGUGAAAAGAGGGCAAAUAUACUCAAGGCAGCCGCCUCUAAACCGAAACUUGGGUUCUGAGGUCAGUUAAACUUGGGUUGCAUUUGAACCUAAGCCUGCCUGCGUGAAAAGCCCGUUGCUUUCUUUGCACCUCAGCUGCCUCAGGUUCUUGAAGAGGCGAUGGAGGAUGUACUUCUAAGAGAACCUCAAUAUACCUACAAUAUAAGUGUUUAGGUGCUCCCUUAACUUGGAAAAAACCCACAACUGAGGAACCUCGGCCAAUGCGGCGCCUGCAUAUUGAGUGCGCCCAAGAAAACGAAUUUCCUCCCGUAGAGCGUCGGUUAGCGGCCACGUUAGGCAGCACAACCGUUCUGGAGACUGGGUGCUCGGCGGCCCAGCAGAGGGAGCGGGGCGGGGCGCGAGUUCCAUACUCGUGGGUCCGUUUCUUCCCUCCUGGCCAGCCGCGCUCUGCUCCCAUCUGCCUACGGGAAAGAGAGUCUCCGCGCACGCGAGCACGCGCACUCGCAGCCUCAACCCUCGGCUCCGCCACCGGGAUGCAGUCUUCUGGGAACGGUUCUCCCCCAGCCCCCACCGGCUGACUUCCGGCCGGCAGCUCCUCAGCCCCUCCCCCUGAG